rnacentral:rRNA from 1 species
GUAGUCUCGCACAGAUGCAUAUCAAUAAGCGGAGGAAAAGAAACUAACAAGGAUUCCCCUUAGUAACGGCGAGUGAAGCGGGAAGAGCUCAAAUUUGAAAUCUUCAAGGGUUUACCUUUACGAAUUGUAGUUUAAAGAAGUGUUUUCUGUUGAGGUUUUGGUAAAAGUUCUUUGGAAUAGGACAUCAUAGAGGGUGAGAAUCCCGUAUUUGACCUUUACUUUCAACUUUGUGAUACACUUUCAAAGAGUCGGAUUGUUUGGGAAUGCAGUCCAAAAUGGGUGGUAAAUUUCAUCUAAAGCUAAAUAUUGGCGAGAGACCGAUAGCGAACAAGUACCGUGAGGGAAAGAUGAAAAGAACUUUGAAAAGAGAGUUAAACAGUACGUGAAAUUGUCAAAAGGGAAGCGUUUGACACCAGUGUUGUUUUUCUGAAAAUCAAUUAAAGAACUGUUUAUGCUAAGUUGUUUAGACUUUAUCAGCUAACUGUUUAGUUUUGAGCUUUUCUUUAAUGCACUUUUCAGUUAACUAAGUCAACAUCAAUUUCUUUUGCUGUAAAAAAGCUUGAGGAAGGUGGCUUGAGAUUCGUCUUAAGUGUUUAUAGCCUCUUGCCUAUGCAGUCGGAGAGAUUGAGGUCUGCAGCGUAGAUCCUUCGGGGCUAAAUGCAUUUGUGCUAAGUUAUAGCAUUUUAUAGACAACUUGUUGACUAUGAUUUGUCUUGUAGGCUUACUCGCUUAUGUUAUUUUACCUACGCUUAGGAUGUUGAUGUGAUACUGCGAGCA